rnacentral:misc_RNA from 1 species
UCAAACUUGGUCAUUUAGAGGAAGUAAAAGUCGUAACAAGGUUUCCGUAGGUGAACCUGCGGAAGGAUCAUCACUGAUUCGGGGGGGGGGAGCGUGUGCGUGUGUGCGUGUGCGUCGCGCGCGCCCGCGCCUCCCACCCCCCACAACCAAUCUUUUGUGCACGGUUUUUCACGGUCAACGAGACGCGCGCGUCGUACGUGUGGUUGGCAAAGUCCUCCCAGUGUGUGGUGGCUUGCCAACCGCGCGCAUGCGUGCGUGUGCUGCGUCUGCGCGCGUUCUCUAUCCUUUACAAUCACUUGUGCAAUCUCUGUCUAAGACAUUACCUAAAUAUUAUAAAGCACACAACUUUCAACAAUGGAUCUCUUGGCUCUCGCAUCGAUGAAGAACGCAGC